rnacentral:rRNA from 1 species
UACAGAGGUCUCAAGCGUUGUUCGGAUUCAUUGGGCGUAAAGGGUGCGUAGGCGGCGCGGUAAGUCGGGUGUGAAAUCUUGGAGCUUAACUCCGAAACUGCAUUCGAUACUGCCGUGCUUGAGGACUGGAGAGGAGACUGGAAUUUACGGUGUAGCGGUGAAAUGCGUAGAUAUCGUAAGGAAGACUAGUGGCGAAGGCGGGUCUCUGGACAGUUCCUGACGCUGAGGCACGAAGGUCAGGGGAGCAAACGGG